AGGAGUGUUGCUCAGUGGUAGAGCACUUGCCUCCUCACAUGUUCACAUGCACGAGGCCCUGGGUUCAAUCUCCAGCACUGCAA
rnacentral:tRNA from 1 species